ensembl:lncRNA
GAGAGUUUGGCUCAAGUGUGAGCCUGCGUGAGGGGGUCUCCAUCACUGUGCAGGGCUCCUGAGUGAGCUGGAGCUGGAGGGCAUGGCUGCGGUCAUGUGACACAAGGCUGUGAGAGGGGAGGAUGAGUCUGCCUGCCUGGCAGUCCCGGGAAACCAGAGUGGGGGCAAGUUCAUUGCUGCCUGGCGAUUUCCGCCACCCCUCAGCUGUGGUUGGAUCCUGUCCUGUGUGACCAUCAGAGUGGAAAGGCCUCUCCGUAGUUCUGCCUGGUGACUUAGGCAUGGUCUUUCUUCCCUUAGGCUUUGAUGUGAAUAACUUUCCUGCCUGAAACAACAGAGGGUCAGAGCAAUUAGCUGAAAGCAUUUUGCCCCUUGAAGAGUGUGCAAUCAGGCUGGGCUUCUGCAGGCUCUAGGGAAGCAAAUUACCAGUGGUGCCUCUCCAUGAAUUGACAAUCUACUCUUCCCUUUUUCAAGUGGCAUGUACGGCAUCUGAAGAGGAUAUGAACAGAAACAACAUUGAGCUGAAAUGGGUCGCAAGAAACAAGCUGUAUUCGAAAUCUGGUGAUUUUAUUGAGUUUGAAUGUAAAAUAGGACAUGUGCAGGACCCAGCAUCUUCCCCAUUCAGAGCACAGUGUGUAGAGGGGAAGCUAGAGUAUCCGCACUGCAAGCCGGGAAAGAAGUGUACGGUGCUUGAGAGUGAUAUGGCGGAGAACAAUAUUCAGCUACAAUCGAGCCUGUCAAGCACUUCCAGCUAUCUCUCCAGGGAAUAUAUUUAUUUUGAAUGCAGAUGGUGGCACCAAAAAACUUCAAGGCCUGAGGAGUUUAGAGUACAGUGCUUGGAUGGCGUUUUCAAGUAUCCUAGAUGCGACCGUAAGUCCUCCAUGACGAGAACACUGUCAGGCUUGCUUGCCUGCCUGCCAGGCUGUGGGGUUUUUCCUUAGGCAGAAGGGCAAAGUCCAUCUGAGAGAGCAGUUUUGUGCCCCUUCAGUGGCAGAGGCCUGUGGCAUCCCGGUAAAAACCACCGGGCAGCGCUUAGAGGCACAGGGCGUCUGAGAAGGGCUCAGCGCCUCGCUAACGCAACAGGAGCGUCAACAGAAGUGGACAACACGGUCAUCCUCUUUGCAGCCUGGCCAGGUCUGUGAGUGGAGUAGCAGAAGCUCAGCUGAGCUUUGAGCUGCUGUGCUUCCACAGAGAGGUUUGGCUCCCAUUCUCAUCCCUGCCCUAACACCCGUGGGGCGUUUGGCUGGUCCCUCUCGUAGUGCCAGGCAGAGGGGGCGGCCCUCUCCCUCCCUCCUUCACCAGGGUCACGCUAGCUGCCUGUGGGCUACUCAGCACAGCGGCAUGUGACGUACGCACCAAACGCUGUUGCUGAAGAAGGGGUAGCUUGGGUUACUUGCUGCCGGUGCUCCCAUCUCCCACGCAGGAAGAGCUCUUGUCACUGACGUUCCCCACGCGCUGCGGUCGCUCUGAGCUGUUGCGUUGGCUUGCUGCGUGGUUGCCACGCAGGCCUUUGGGGAAUGAGGCUUUGUGUUUGGCGGUAGGAGGAGAGGACCACAGCACUGCUGGGAGUUGUCGCAGGACACCUGCUGGCAGCCGCAGCAGCAAAGGGUCUGCAGAGGGGCAGGUUUAGGGUCCUUUUUGGCACAAGUACAGGUCUGUGUCUGUCACUGAGCUGCUCCCGUUCAGAGGACCCUGGGGCUCUUCCCUUCACCUUUCAUCUAGCUGAACUCGUGCAAUGUGAAUAGUUGGUGGCUUUGCUGAAAUCCGCUGUGGUUCGUUGUGAGGAAGCACUGCUGUGUGCCAGGCUUGGUAUUCACUCCUUCUCCCAUUCUUUCUCUUCACUUCGUAGGGAUGUGGGGAUAAAUGGAAGUGGCAUGAAGGCACCUGGCUGCAGAAGUGAAAGAUGCCUCAACCAACCCAGUUAUUAGAAUUCAAUCUUUCUUACACAGGAUUUUCUGCUUCGCUGUGCUUUGUCAGUAGCUUAGGCAGUGUUCUGUGUUUGAAUUCCUGACGUUUUUUUUUUCCUUUUAAUAUUGGCUGAUUGCGUUUCCAUUUCCUUUUUAAGCAUUCUGUAUUGAUUUCAUUGCCACUUUUAUUAACAAUUGCAUCCUGAAAUAGGCUGGCUUUGGCGGCCUACUGAGACAAGAAUUAAAGCCUGCAAGUAAUCUGAUCAUCAGCAAGCUGGGUGUGUUUGGCCUUGUCUGUUCCGAGCUGCUUCUGCAUGCAGCUACCCGGAAAUUAACCUUGCGUCGCGCCUGAGGGGAGUGCCCUGACCACCUAAUGAGGACGAGAAGUGAAUGGCGUCUCCUUUAAACAACUCGAGGCAGUCUCUGGGUGGCAGACGCCCAUUCUUAGGGGGGGCUGUAAGCACCCUGGCACUUGGUGGAAGGGCAAGAUGUGGACAGGCACGUAACUGGGAUUUCUGGGAGGUGGCGGGGGGUGUGUGUGUGUCAGGGAUAAGCUCUUGGUCCAGGUUCUGGAUGGGCCGACCUGGGGCAACACACAGCUGCACCUAUUGUUCGCUAACAGGAAAGAAGUGGUUGGGGAUGUGGGACCCCUUUAACCCCUAAAGGGUUGGGGAACCCUUUAAAAUCAAUGAUGAUACUCUUUGCUGGACCAGAACUCAUGUGAAGAGCCAUGUUUAAUAUCAUUUGGCUUUCACAUUUCAUUGUGAUGGUAAGGGGGGAAGGGGGAGGCAGGAGUUUGUUUCCAGGGUUUUUCCAUAUAAGAUGCUCUGAUAGCUCCAAAUCACAAAGUGAGGGUGUAUUUUCAGAUGACUUUUACAAGAAAAGUUUAAAAGGCACAUUAUGUUUUCGUGCUAAUGCUAACAAAAACAGGUGCAUUUGCAUUACACGGAAGGGAGGGGUUUUGAGGGUUUUUUGGGUUUUUUUUUUGAAUAAAUAAAAGUUGGUUCUUCCUAGGCUAUUCA